GACAGAGGGUGCAAGCGUUUGUUCGGAAUCAUUGGGCGUAAAGCGCACGUAGGCGGUCGUGUAAGUCAAAUGUGAAAGCCCAGGGCUUAACCCUGGAAGUGCAUCUGAUACUGCACGACUUGAGUCCCGGAGAGGAUGGUGGAAUUCCUGGUGUAGAGGUGAAAUUCGUAGAUAUCAGGAGGAACACCGGUGGCGAAGGCGACCAUCUGGACGGAGACUGACGCUGAGGUGCGAAAGCGUGGGGAGCAAACAGG
rnacentral:rRNA from 1 species